rnacentral:misc_RNA from 1 species
GCAAACUUGGUCAUUUAGAGGAAGUAAAAGUCGUAACAAGGUCUCCGUAGGUGAACCUGCGGAGGGAUCAUUAAAAUAGGCCGAUAAGAAGGCACUCUCCCCUCGGGGAGAGGGCGGGCCGUAUCCCACACCCUUUGUGAACCACAACUCUGUUGCUUCGGGGGCGACCCUGCCGUCAGGCGGCGGUGCCCCCGGUGGCCUUCAACUAAACUCUGCAUCUUUUGCGUCGGAGUCUUUUAAAGAAUUAAACAAAACUUUCAACAACGGAUCUCUUGGUUCUGGCAUCGAUGAAGAACGCAGC